rnacentral:lncRNA from 1 species
UGUAAUGAAAAUUGAUAGGGUAUGUAAACUUGGUGUUUUAGGACCCUCAUAUUCAGGGCCGACCAUCUAUGACUUAGUAUUACAUGGUGCUUUAUGGUCCUAAAUUAUGGAGCCUGUAAGCCCUAAUUAUACACGGUACACGGUAGCCCUAAUAUGUAUGGAGUCCAUAAGCCCUGGUGCCCAUAAGCCCGGUUGCCCAUAAGCCCAGAAACUCUGGUGCCCAUAAGCCCGGUUGCCCAGUUGCCCAUAAACCCUGUAUCCAUAAGCCCAGAAACUCUGGUGCCCAUAAACCCACAAGCCCAUAUUGCAAGAGAAGGUAUAUAAGGGAGUGAUAAUUGUGAAACAGCAGAGCUGACGAGAGAACGAGAUUAGAGGAUUGUUAAUAUUACUUAGUGUGCUAUAUCUGUAUAUACUGUAUAUUCUGUUAUUACGUUAUUACUGUGUAUUGUGUUUUUACGAUACUUGAAUACACUGUUGAACUUUACACAACGACUUCGUGUUUAUUUUAGUCAGUCAGAGAAAAGGUCCAAGCAACACAAGAAUCCCUCAUUUUAUAUACGCA